rnacentral:rRNA from 1 species
GAUGAACGCUAGCGGCAGGCCUAAUACAUGCAAGUCGAACGGUAAGGCCCUUUCGGGGGUACACGAGUGGCGGACGGGUGCGUAACGCGUAUGCAACAUGCCUUCCAGCGGGGGAUAUACCAGGGAAACUUGGCGCAAUACCCCAUAGAAUUACGGGACCGCAUGGUCUUGUGAUUAAAACUCCGGUGCUGGGAGAUUGGCAUGCGUGACAUUAGCUAGUUAGCGGGGUAACGGCCUACCAAGGGUACGAUGGGUAGCUGGUCUGAGAGGAUGAUCAGCCACACUGGGACUGAGACACGGCCCAGACUCCUACGGGAGGCAGCAGUGGGGAAUAUUGGACAAUGGGGGAAACCCUGAUCCAGCUACGCCGCGUGGGUGAUGAAGGCCUUCGGGUUGU